rnacentral:rRNA from 1 species
GUCCAGCCUGCCCAGUGACUACGGGUUUAACGGCCGCGGUAUUUUGACCGUGCAAAGGUAGCGCAAUCACUUGUCUCUUAAAUAGAGACCUGUAUGAAUGGCUAGACGAGGGCUUAACUGUCUCCCCCCUCCAGUCAGUGAAAUUGAUCUAUCCGUGCAGAAGCGGGUAUGAAUAUACAAGACGAGAAGACCCUUUGGAGCUUAAGGUACAAAAUUCAACCACGUUAAACGACUCUGUAAAAAGCAGGAACUUAGUGGCACAUGAAGUCUUACCUUCGGUUGGGGCGACCACGGAGGAGAAAGGAACCUCCGAGUGGACUGGGCUAGGUCCCAAAGCUAAGAGAUACAUCUCUAAGCCGCAGAAUAUCUGACCAAAAAUGAUCCGGCUAAUAAAGCCGAUCAACGAACCAAGUUACCCUAGGGAUAACAGCGCAAUCCUCUCCCAGAGUCCAUAUCGACGAGAGGGUUUACGACCUCGAUGUUGGAUCAGGACAUCCUAAUGGUGCAGCCGCUAU